rnacentral:lncRNA from 1 species
GUAUUUCCUGAGGUUUUUCUCAUGAUGAUAAGCAUUUUGCUAAAUUCAAACUGGGCUACCUUCUCUCAAGUGACACUAUUCAAUUAGAGAACAAAGCCUGUGCAAAAGGAUUCAUUCCUCUACAAUAAGAUGGGGCAGAGAUACAUGCUAACUGAUGGUGUAGUGUUUUUUAGAUCCUGAAUCCCAGUGGAACAGCUGUCAUCAAGUGGUCUGAAGACCCCCACCAAGGAACCAAUUCAGCAGAAGAAUGCAGUUUUCUUCAUCUCUCUGUCCCAUGACUUCACCCUUUACUUUUCAAUCAAUCAGUGAUCCCCACACUUUAGCCCAUCACCCAUCCAGACCGCUUAAAAAAUCCAUCACCAGAUGUCUCAGGGAGGCACAUUUGAGGUUUCUUCUUGUCUCCUCCUUCAGCUGCUCUUUGAUUAUUAAACUCUUUCUGUGUGGCAACCCCUAGUGUCUCAGGAUAUUGAAUCACUCUGCAUUGGGCAAUGAACUUACGGUUACAAGACUGCUCCCCACAUCAGACAUGGUUGCAAAUAGUGUAUCCCCAGAUUACCCACACUUCUGUCUGACUUUAAUACAUAUUGGGAAUUCCCCAAAAACUCUUCCUCAGUUUUAGAUAUUUUGCUAUAAUAGCUCACAGAACUCAGG